UACGUAGGGUGCAAGCGUUAUCCGGAUUUACUGGGUGUAAAGGGCGAGUAGACGGCAAUACAAGUCAGCUGUGAAAACUUAGGGCUCAACCUUAAGACUGCAGCUGAAACUGUAUAGCUAGAGUGCAGGAGAGGAAAGUGGAAUUCCUAGUGUAGCGGUGAAAUGCGUAGAUAUUAGGAGGAACACCAGUGGCGAAGGCGACUUUCUGGACUGUAACUGACGUUGAGGCGCGAAAGUGUGGGGAGCAAAC
rnacentral:rRNA from 1 species